UGAAAUUCUUCUUUUUCAUAGGGACAUAUUUGAUAGGUCUAGCUUCACCCUAUCACAUCAAAUGAGAAUAGCCUCGUGAGAGAAUUACGAUUCGCUUGUCCCUUGUUAGUUAUUGUCGCUUCGUCACUAAAUUAAACUUCUUGUCGCUGUUUGUCUCUAAAAUUCUUCUUGUCUCUUAUUAGUGAGACCAGUCAGUUCCGUCCUUAACUUCCGUUUUUGCACUGCAAAACAAUCACACAAUUAACGAUGCCUAGUCCUUGUUGGUGUGUACCCGAGUGUCAUUUAAGAGGAGGACUUGCAUUUCUAAAUGACUUAAUAAGAAGGAAAAGUUGGAUCAACGCCAUGGCUCAAACGUAGAUUGUCAUGUGCGAUGCAAUCGUAGAACCCAUAUCAAUCAGCUGUUGUUUGCAAGGCACAUUUUACUGAAAACGACUACGUUCAGGAAACUAUUCAUGGUAAAACUUUAUUUUCUUUAAGAAAUAUAUACUGUUAUUUAUAUAAUCGCCAUGCAAGUAAACCAAAGUCUGUUUGCAACCGCAAUUAUCGUUUUAGAAUAAAAACUUAAAAAAGGGGG
rnacentral:lncRNA from 1 species